rnacentral:rRNA from 1 species
GAUGAACGCUGGCGGCGUGCCUAAUACAUGCAAGUCGAGCGAACAGACGAGGAGCUUGCUCCUUUGACGUUAGCGGCGGACGGGUGAGUAACACGUGGAUAACCUACCUAUAAGACUGGGAUAACUUCGGGAAACCGGAGCUAAUACCGGAUAAUAUGUUGAACCGCAUGGUUCAAUAGUGAAAGACGGUCUUGCUGUCACUUAUAGAUGGAUCCGCGCCGCAUUAGCUAGUUGGUAAGGUAACGGCUUACCAAGGCAACGAUGCGUAGCCGACCUGAGAGGGUGAUCGGCCACACUGGAACUGAGACACGGUCCAGACUCCUACGGGAGGCAGCAGUAGGGAAUCUUCCGCAAUGGGCGAAAGCCUGACGGAGCAACGCCGCGUGAGUGAAGAAGGUCUUCGGAUCGUAAAACUCUGUUAUUAGGGAAGAACAAAUGUGUAAGUAACUAUGCACGUCUUGACGGUACCUAAUCAGAAAGCCACGGCUAACUACGUG